CAGAGUUGAAAAACUCCCUAACCCUUUGUUUACAUACCUGUUCAGUUGCUUCGGCAGGCGGCCCCAGGGCGGGCCUCCAGCCUGCUCACGCAGGUGCCUGCCGCUGGCGCAAAAAAAACUCUUGUUAUAUAUUACCACUCUGAGUCUAAAAACAAAUGAAUCA
rnacentral:misc_RNA from 1 species